rnacentral:rRNA from 1 species
AUUGAACGCUGGCGGCAGGCCUAACACAUGCAAGUCGAGCGGUAGCACAGGGAGCUUGCUCCUGGGUGACGAGCGGCGGACGGGUGAGUAAUGUCUGGGAAACUGCCUGAUGGAGGGGGAUAACUACUGGAAACGGUAGCUAAUACCGCAUAACGUCACAAGACCAAAGAGGGGGACCUUCGGGCCUCUUGCCAUCCGAUGUGCCCAGAUGGGAUUAGCUAGUAGGUGGGGUAACGGCUCACCUAGGCGACGAUCCCUAGCUGGUCUGAGAGGAUGACCAGCCACACUGGAACUGAGACACGGUCCAGACUCCUACGGGAGGCAGCAGUGGGGAAUAUUGCACAAUGGGCGCAAGCCUGAUGCAGCCAUGCCGCGUGUAUGAAGAAGGCCUUCGGGUUGUAAAGUACUUUCAGCGGGGAGGAAGGCGAUAAGGUUAAUAACCUUGUCGAUUGACGUUACCCGCAGAAGAAGCACCGGCUAACUCCGUGCCAGCAGCCGCGGUAACAC